GAGACCGGCGCACGGGUGCGUAACGCGUAUGCAAUCUACCUUUCACAGAGGGAUAGCCCAGAGAAAUUUGGAUUAAUACCUCAUAGUAUAGCAGUUUCGCAUGAAACCACUAUUAAAGUCACAACGGUGAAAGAUGAGCAUGCGUCCCAUUAGCUAGUUGGUAAGGUAACGGCUUACCAAGGCAACGAUGGGUAGGGGUCCUGAGAGGGAGAUCCCCCACACUGGUACUGAGACACGGACCAGACUCCUACGGGAGGCAGCAGUGAGGAAUAUUGGACAAUGGGCGCAAGCCUGAUCCAGCCAUGCCGCGUGCAGGAUGACGGUCCUAUGGAUUGUAAACUGCUUUUGUACAGGAAGAAACACUCCCUCGUGAGGGAGCUUGACGGUACUGUAAGAAUAAGGAUCGGCUAACUCCGUGCCAGCAGCCGCGGUAAUACGGAGGAUCCAAGCGUUAUCCGGAAUCAUUGGGUUUAAAGGGUCCGUAGGCGGUUUAGUAAGUCAGUGGUGAAAGCCCAUCGCUCAACGGUGGAACGGCCAUUGAUACUGCUAAACUUGAAUUAUUAGGAAGUAACUAGAAUAUGUAGUGUAGCGGUGAAAUGCUUAGAGAUUACAUGGAAUACCAAUUGCGAAGGCAGGUUACUACUAAUGGAUUGACGCUGAUGGACGAAAGCGUGGGUAGCGAACAGGAUUAGAUACCCUGGUAGUCCACGCCGUAAACGAUGGAUACUAGCUGUUGGAAGCAAUUUCAGUGGCUAAGCGAAAGUGAUAAGUAUCCCACCUGGGGAGUACGUUCGCAAGAAUGAAACUCAAAGGAAUUGACGGGGGCCCGCACAAGCGGUGGAGCAUGUGGUUUAAUUCGAUGAUACGCGAGGAACCUUACCAAGGCUUAAAWKUAGAUUGACCGGUUUGGAAACAGACUUUUCGCAAGACAAUUUACAAGGUGCUGCAUGGUUGUCGUCAGCUCGUGCCGUGAGGUGUCAGGUUAAGUCCUAUAACGAGCGCAACCCCUGUUGUUAGUUGCCAGCGAGUCAAGUCGGGAACUCUAACAAGACUGCCAGUGCAAACUGUGAGGAAGGUGGGGAUGACGUCAAAUCAUCACGGCCCUUACGCCUUGGGCUACACACGUGCUACAAUGGCCGGUACAGAGAGCAGCCACUGGGCGACGUCGAGCGAAUCUAUAAAACCGGUCACAGUUCGGAUCGGAGUCUGCAACUCGACUCCCUCAAGCUGGAAUCGCUA
rnacentral:rRNA from 1 species